rnacentral:rRNA from 1 species
UGGUACUUGAGAUAACGUAAGGGAAAAAAAUGAUAGUACCUUACUAUAAGUGUUGUCCAACAUUACUGGUGCCAGAAGACUCGGUAACGCCAGAAACGCAAACGUUAGUCGUCCUAAUCAGGCGUAAAGGGUAAGUAGGCUGCUUUGAAAGUUAUUAAUUAGAAAGCUCCAUUUGUUUUGCACCCAAGCCUCACAUAAAACUGAGGGGGGCACCACCAGCGUAUACUGCUGGUGCCCUACUGCAACUGGUAAUUAAUAAUUAAUUAAAGCUAGAAUCAAAAAGAGGAUAAGCCAAAUAAUGUUUAGAGUAGGGAUGAAAUCCGUAGAUACUAAAUGGAAUACUAAUGGUGAAAACAUUUAUCUAAUAAUGAUUGACGCUGAGGAACGAAGGUGAGAAUAGAAAAUAGGAUUAGAGACCCAGAUAUCUCUCACUGUCAACGAUGAAUGGUGGUUGUUAGUUUUAAAAUAAACUAGUAACGAUGUUAACGCGAUAACCAUUCCGCCUUGCGAGUACG